GAUGAACGCUGGCGGCGUGCCUAAUACAUGCAAGUCGAGCGAACAGACGAGGAGCUUGCUCCUCUGACGUUAGCGGCGGACGGGUGAGUAACACGUGGAUAACCUACCUAUAAGACUGGGAUAACUUCGGGAAACCGGAGCUAAUACCGGAUAAUAUAUUGAACCGCAUGGUUCAAUAGUGAAAGACGGUUUUGCUGUCACUUAUAGAUGGAUCCGCGCCGCAUUAGCUAGUUGGUAAGGUAACGGCUUACCAAGGCAACGAUGCGUAGCCGACCUGAGAGGGGGAUCGGCCACACUGGAACUGAGACACGGUCCAGACUCCUACGGGAGGCAGCAGUAGGGAAUCUUCCGCAAUGGGCGAAAGCCUGACGGAGCAACGCCGCGUGAGUGAUGAAGGUCUUCGGAUCGUAAAACGCUGUUAUUAGGGAAGAACAAAUGUGUAAGUAACUAUGCACGUCUUGACGGUACCUAAGCAGAAAGCCACGGCUAACUACGU
rnacentral:rRNA from 1 species